rnacentral:rRNA from 1 species
AUCACUAAGCGGAGGAAAAGAAACUAACAAGGAUUCCCUCAGUAACGGCGAGUGAAGCGGGAAGAGCCCAGCGCCGAAUCCCCCCGGCCCUUGCCGGACGGGAACUGUGGCGUUAGGGACGUCGAUCGUGCCGUCGGCCUCUCGGGAUCUGAGUCCUCAUGAUCGGGGCCUUUCCCAGAGCGGGUGUCAGGCCUCUACUGGUCCCGGGCCGUCGGCCGUCUCGGCUGUCCCAAGAGUCGGGUUGUUUGGGAAUGCAGCCCAAAGAGGGUGGUAAACUCCAUCUAAGGCUAAAUACUGGCACGAGUCCGAUAGCGGAC